CGGGCGGGCGGGGGCCGCUGGCAGCUCAAGCCGGGCGUCGGCUGCGGCCUGCGUGGGCCCGGCCCGGCGUGACAAGGCCGCGGGGGCGACGGGGCCCGGCCCGGCGAGUCCUUGGGCAGGACCUUGGCCGGGGCGGCGGGCGGCUCGCAGGAGACGGGCGGGAGCUGGGGGUGCCGCCGCCCCCCUCCUGGCGCCCCUCGGACGCCGCGCCCGCCGUGGGGGGGGGUCCCCCGACCGCGCCGGGGGGGCUUGGCGGGGUCUCGGACCCCAACACCUUGGUGGGGGCGAGUAGGGGGCUUUGCCUCGCCAGCCGCGGGGCCAGGGCUGCCCCCUCAGCGCCGGGGGGGGGCUCGGCUUUGUUCAGAGGCAGCCGCCUCCCCCCCCCCCCCGCAGCACCCAAGGGUGUUAAGCCGCUUGCAAACGCCCGUAGCCUGGGGGGCGGGGGCGGGUUUGACAUGGCAUCGCAGCCCCGUUGGCCAGGGCAGAGCCGAGGGGCCUUCCCCAGCUCCUGGCACUGGGCCUGGAUCGCAGGUUCCCAGGAGCCCUUCUCUUGAAUGGAAGGAGAUGGGGAAAGCGGAGCCCUGCCUUUACCCAGGCUGGCAGCGAGGCCGCUCCGAGGAGGCUGGGCAAGACCGGGAACCUCGCUGGAAAAGGGGUUUCUGUACAUUUGGUGCUGCAGCCUGAGCCAGGGCACUUGACGGAUCAUUCUCCCCCCCGCCCCCCACAACAAGCAGCGGUGUCCCCACCUGUCCUUUCCCCUCUUUCUAACCUCAUAAAACAGAUUGAGGGUGGGGUUUUUAAAUGACCCGGAAGGAGUUAGGCACCAAAUGCCCAUUUCGAUGGGAUUUGCGCAUCAAACUCCUUAAGCCUGGUCUAUGCUAGGAAAUUAGCUUGCUAUAACUACAUCUCUUGGGGGCUCUGUCAGCCUAGCUACUGUCUGUUGGGGAGGUGGAGUACCCCACCCUGACACGCGAACCCCUCCUGUAGGCGUAGAUAGCAUCUUCACUGCAGCACUAGCACGGCACAGCUGCGCACUGGUUUAUGUGUAGACAGACCCGUCUUUUCCUUUGAAAAUCUGAGCCCUGUAACUUUCCCAAAUGAGUGUGAUGAUCCAUAAUAUUGAUGCUACAGUGUUUUCAAGACUACAAGCCAUUUCAGCCCCCCCACUGAGAUGUCCUAUUAUUGUUUAAAUGUCACUUGUUUCUUUCGUACUUUUUUUAAUUGCUUGAGUGGUGUGUGAAAAGUAAGAGAAUUCUUCUGAGAUGGUGUAUAUUCAUAAACUCUGGAAGGCCUUGUGCCAGAAUCAUAGACGGCACAGCUACGAUAGAAAACACCGAACUGUAAAAGAUGGAAAAUGCAAUUACUAUUUUCAGGUUUUCCCUUCCUUUUGCCUGUGAAAUCAAGGAAGAAAUUAAUACAAUAACUUACAAUACAAUACAAUAAGUAUGUUGGAUAAUUCUUUGUAGAGUAAAAGAGGUUUUAAAGCUGCUAGCAACAAUAUCUUGAGUGUGAUUAGAUGUAGCUUGUAAGUAUUUAUGGAAUGUUUACCCAAACACUAUAAUUGUACGCUUUCCAAAAAUGGUGAAGGCUAAUGAACUCUCAGCAAAGGAGGCCAGGCUAGUGAUAACAUUUGUAAGGAUAAAGUUAAUACCAUUAUUUCUGCACAAUUUUUGUACUUUUCUAAAAUCUGUUGAAUUUCUCCUUUCAAAGAAAUUGCUUCACCAACUUUUUGAUGGUGCAGACAGAUGUGAAACCAUACUUUUGCCAUACCAAUUUAACCUGCCAAUACAUUUAAUCUCCAUACUAUAUCAAUAUUAUUGAUGAUACAUUUUAAAAAAAUUAGAAGCAAGGGAGAAGUCUUAGUUUGAGCCUUUUCUUUUUGUUGUGUCCCAUGGUGUGACUUCUCUUCAGAGAAUUUUCCUAUAUUGCUUUGAUAAGCAUUUUGGACACUUUUUCUAACUAAAAAUUCUAUAAUCUGGUUGCUCAUUUCUUUAUCUUAAAAGAUGUUUAAUGUAUUGAUAUUCUACUUUCUUGGGCUGUAAUAUAGUUCAGCAAGGACCCUGACAUUAUUUAAAGCACUGUUUUCCAAUAUUAAACUUUAUAUAAUAGUACAUUUCCUUCCACUACUGUGUUUUUAGUUUAACCCAAACCCCUUGAUGUAUACAUGUAGACUUAAAGCACAUUUUCCUUAAGUGUUCAUAAGUACAUCUGAGUAGAAUUGACCUUUUCUCCUUGAGACUAUUUUUUUAUGAAGAGAAGUAUAAGAGACAUUAAAAGCUUUUCUAGAAU